AUUGAACGCUGGCGGCAGGCCUAACACAUGCAAGUCGAACGGUAACAGGAAGCAGCUUGCUGCUUCGCUGACGAGUGGCGGACGGGUGAGUAAUGUCUGGGAAACUGCCUGAUGGAGGGGGAUAACUACUGGAAACGGUAGCUAAUACCGCAUAACGUCGCAAGACCAAAGAGGGGGACCUUCGGGCCUCUUGCCAUCGGAUGUGCCCAGAUGGGAUUAGCUAGUAGGUGGGGUAACGGCUCACCUAGGCGACGAUCCCUAGCUGGCCUGAGAGGAUGAACAGCCACACUGGAAUUGAGACACGGUCCAGACUCCUACGGGAGGCAGCAGUGGGGAAUAUUGCACAAUGGGCGCAAGCCUGAUGCAGCCAUGCCGCGUGUAUGAAGAAGGCCUUCGGGUUGUAAAGUACUUUCAGCGGGGAGGAAGGCGAUAAGGUUAAUAACCUUGUCGAUUGACGUUACCCGCAGAAGAAGCACCGGCUAACUCCGUGCCAGCCGCCGCGGUAA
rnacentral:rRNA from 1 species